GGGGCAUCCCAUAAUGUCACAGUUCACCUGUCAUGAGGAGUGUGACCGUCUGAGGAAACAGCUGUUUAAUGAUGAUGUCAACAAGCUGAUCUCAGAGUGGAGGCUGAAUUAGUGAGGAUGACUCCUGCUCCUGUCAUCUCUAAGCUCCUCACACAUCUUUACCUGCACAUGAGGAAAAUCACUCCUGUAGAAUGCAGAUGUUCAGAGGGAGAUGAUGCCACAUCUGGUCCAGCUGAUGGAAGGUCUUGAAGUUCUCUGACUGGCCUGGACUGAAGAUGGUCGUCUCACUGGAUUUAAGGUUCAAAUGCCCAGUAACAAACUCCACCAAUGUGCCAACAGGGAAGCUUUAGGUUUAGUAAAUGUUGCUAUGAAGGUUUCACUGUUUUUCUUUGUGAAUGCAAUGUGCUCCAACUGAAACUUGAAUUAGAACUUAGAAGUAAAUCCUUCCAUCUGAAAGGAUUUAGUUGCAUUAAUAAUCUCAUAACAUUCUAAUUUUUAUUCCAGUCUUGGUUGGAAAUAGAAUCUCUGUAUUGAUUCAGGUAAAAACUGAACUUCACAGCAUGUUGGAGCAAAACAACCAGAUGAAAACUGUGAUGGUGUUGGAUUGUCAGACCGUAAUGUUGCAGCUCAAAGCAGCUUUUCUAGCUCAGUUCAUUCUGACAUUCAGCUAUGAAUCAACACAGCAGAUGGUGAUCCAUGCUGUGGAAGUCUCACAUCUCCUGAUUUAAUGGAGCUGCUUUGCACUUUUUACACUGUUUAUUCACCAACACUUUAUUUAAUCAAAGUCCCAUCUAGUUUUCAUGAGGAAUGUGAUGUUUUAAUUUCUCUGUGAAUAACUGCAGUCUAAUGCAACAGCUGGAGUUGUAACAUCUGUCCUGAUAUUGAUCAUGAAGUAUUGAUCAGAAUACUUAUGGUUAGCAGUCAUCCCUGAAGUUUUACAUUAAAAUCUUUACUUGUGUUGUGAACUUUGGUAAGAAGCAGAAACGUUAGCGUUGCCAUGGAUACACGAGUGUUAAAUUCUGUCCGUGUUUCCAUUUUGGGAAAUAUAGUCCAGUUCCAGAAUGUGGAGGAAUUUAGUCUCAAAAUCACAGACAACAAAUAUUAUCUGAAAGUUGGGUUAUUGUUGUUUAUCAGCACAAUACAAAAAGAUUAAUGUUAGAAAUAUUCCAGUUAAGACUCUAGAAUAUCAUGAUUUAUGUAAAUUUACCUCAAUAAUAUGAAUGUUCAGGUUAAGAUUGUACAGUGAUAUUUAUUAUGUAAGUUUAGCUGAUUAAAGUUUAUGACUGCACUAAAAUAUUAUUUAAAUUGACAUCAUUAUUAUAAUAUUUAGGGUCAGACCCUACAGUAUUGAGAUUAAGAAAUCAAAUAUUCUAUAAAAUGUAAAUACACUGAACUCAUUUGGAUAUAUUUAAAUGAGACUCUACAAUAUUAUUUGACACAAAUCUGUCUAAAUCAAAAUUUUAAUAAUUUUUUACAAACAUUUACUGGACUGAUUUAAAUAUGAAAAUCACUCCUUUCUAAUCCUCUGCUGUACGUUCAAACCUGAGGCCUUAAAUAGAAACACACAAGUAUCUGUUUGAAGGAACUUCUGCAGAGUCCUGGUUCCAGAACAUGAUGAUAGAAUUAUAGACAAACUUUAACAAAAGCUGCCUGAGAGUUUACAGGUUUUUAUGUUGGAUUUCUUCAGUAAUUUAAUGAGUUAUCAGCAAAAAUCAAGUGUUCAUUUGAUGAACUUCAUUUCCUAAAACAUCCAGAAUUGGAGCUCAUAUCUUUGGCAGCUGUAAAGUUUCUGCUCCUUCAAAGUUCACAACACAAUGAAUGAAUUCCUAAAACACUCUCAAUGCUGGAG
ensembl:lncRNA